GUGAGGAGAGCAUGGAGGUGAGGAGGAGCAUGGAGGUGAGGAGGAGCAUGGAGGUGAGGAGAGCAUGGAGGUGAGGAGGAGCAUGGAGGUGAGGAGGAGCAUGGAGGUGAGGAGGAGCAGAAAGUGAUUCUGAAGUUUAGGGAGAAAAGGGGAGUUGGGGCGAUGAGUCUGAUAAACUUGGCGGCUGUGAUAAAAGAGUUGAUUGGGGACGUUGUCAAUGCUAAGUGUUAAGAGAUGGGAACUUGUUGGUGUUCUGUAAGGACAUGGCGCAGAGGGAAAAAGCUCUCAGAGUAACGCAAAUAGGGAAGUGUAAGGUGGUGUCGAGCAGCUGGACUGAUCAAGCAGGG
ensembl:lncRNA